rfam:Hordeum vulgare subsp. vulgare, WGS project CAJW01000000 data, contig: morex_contig_1389724
GAAAGCCGUAUGCUUUGGAAGAAGCUUGUACAGUUUGGGAAGGGGUUUUUUGAGAGAAAAGAAGAAUCUACUUCAAC